CACGAACUAAGAAAUGGUAGUUUAUUUUCUUUUUGCCAUGCAGCAAAGGAGGGUCGAAUGUAAAGCUGAUACAGUUGCUGGCUGAGCUUUUCCCGCGGCAGCCAGUGCGUGCUUCCUCCACUUCUUCGAGACUUCUCCGUGCUCCUGCCCCACCUCCCAGGCUGAAGAUUCAUGCAGGCCCUGCGCUUAGCCCAGACUCUGGCCAGGCCCGGCCCAGCCCGAAGGUGGGCGGCUCCCGGCGCAGGGCGGCCCAGCCCCAACCACUGAGAGGAGGACCCUCCGGCGUCCUAGAGUGGCCGCAGGCCGCGGCGUCGGGUUGGAAAACCAGGAGAGCAUGGAGCUUUUUCGCUGGUCCGGCGCGGUCUCUUGCGUUCCUGUGGCGGGCACCUGACUCCCCAUGCCCGAGUACUGUCCUCAGGCGGAACGGCGUCUGCAGCGAGGAGCGGGGUUCCAGCAGGCUCGGCUGACGCGGUCCCUGGCAUUUCCCGUGCUGGCCCUGGGUCGCCCUCGAUGCUGCUUCCCGCUGGGAGCCUCCUUCUGACGGCGGAAAGGAGCUUCACCUGGGGCGGCCGGCGGGGAACGGAGAAGAAUCCACCGGGGAAGUGGACGGGGCUGGCUCCCGGGCCUGGCGCUGCGGCUCUCGGGCCGUCAGACCUCCCGCGGGUUGCGUCACUUUCCUCGGUUUUCUAGACAGCAGUUGUGGGGUUGAAUCCUUGCCGUGGUUUUGUAAGAAUUAAAUGAGAUAAUGAACGCGAACACCAAUCAUUGCUCUUUGUUGGGUGCUUCCUGUGGGCCUGGCAAUAUUAACAACACGAGCUCAUUCAUGCAUUCAUUUGCUACUCAGUGACUUUCCUGUCAAUACUGCAAGGUGCUGGAGAUGAGCCCCCACUCUUUGGUCAGUAAAACUGCCAAGAUCACCGACCUUGUGAAGACAUUUGAGGAUGAGAGGUUGGUUGGAGCCUGGACGUGGAGACAGACUCUAAAUAGUUAACUACAAGACACAUAGACAGGGUCUCAAUCUGCCACCCAGCCUGGAGUGCACUGGCACCAUCAUAGCUCACUGCUGAUUCAA
rnacentral:lncRNA from 10 species